AUUGAUAUACUCCGAGGAGUGUAUCCCGAGGACUCAAUCUAUACCCCACCUCAUUUCUCUUCUUCGGUCCUCGAGGUCAUCUAAGUCCUCGAGAUAUUGUAGUCCUCGAGAUACCUCGAGGACACAUUUACAUUCCCUCAAUGUCCUCAAGAAUAGUCCUCGAGACAUACACCACCAACAUACCUCCUAAGACCUGGGUACCUAACUAACAAACCUAAACACCCAAGGAUUUUACAUCAACCCUAACACCACUUGUCAAACAAUUCCAUUACAAGUAGGACAUUCUUUAUAAUAGAAAUUCCCUUGGAUAAAAACAUCCAACCAACACAAUCCUACUAGGAGUACACUACCUACUCCUAUAAAAGCAGAACCUUGGGCCAUUAUUCAGGUACGUUUGACAUUGUUCUUCAGCACAUAGCCUCACGCAUAUAUUUCCCUUUCUGACUUAAGCAUCGGAGGGGCGACGAGAACACACCUUGUUGCCUUUGUUUCAGGUAUCGGAAGAUCACGUUCGUGCUCCUCACCAGUCAUCAAGCUCGG
rnacentral:lncRNA from 1 species